CCCCGCGCCACCGCCAACCGCCGGCCGCGCUGACAUCACCGAGAUGGAUUUAAAUAGCACCGCAGCCCCCUGCCUCCCGGAUACAGCGCACCCCAUUGGCGGCGGCGGCAGCCUAUGGCCGCGCGGUGCCUCUCCCCUCCGCCAAUGGCAGUGCCGCUGCCGCCGCGCACCUCCCCUGUCGCUAAGGGAGGGAAAUACAUCGCGGUGCGGAGCGCUGUCAGGUGUGCGGGUAGUGCUGCAUCCUGCCGCGGGCCGGGCAUGGCGAUCGGCCGUGGGGCGGGCUGGGUGCGCUUCCUUUCCUUAACCCCCGCCUUGGUUUUCAUCCCUGCUAGGCUAGCUGCUGCAGCCAGCCGCGUAGCGCGGCGGGGAGAGGGGGGAGCGUGGAAAGUAGCGAUUUUCGCCUUUGUUUUAAGGGCUCCAGGGGAGGUGGAAUGCAGGGCAGGCAUCGGGCAGAGAGGAGGUCCGCUCCGCUGCUCUGCUUCCCUGGGAAAUGCUUAGAAAGGGAGAGACGGGCCGGGGGACUCGCCGGGCUGCGGGGGCUUGGCGGGUAUGGACGGCACAGGCAUGAAGACGGUGUGAGAGAGAAAAGCACCUGGUGAUGGUAGUGGCGGUGUUAGGGGUGGGAGGCAAAGAGACGGAGAGGAGCUGGGUGCCCCGCACGCAGCCGGAGCCUGUGGAUGUUUGCUCCCCGCCGAGCCGCAAUGGACGCUGCCCGCCGCCCCGCCGCCGCCGCCGAGGGAGAGCUGCUCGCCAGGAGCCGGGGACGGGGGUUUCCUCUUCGGCAACGCUCCGGUGAACUCAGGGUCUGCGGCCGCCCGCAAAGAUAGGUUGCGUGGCAGCCACGGCUCGGGCAAAUAGAGGGCUCUUGGAGAAGCUGUCUGCCAUCACACAGCAGGCCAGCAGCAGAGCAGGACUUGUGUCCCCUGAGCCCUGUCCCACCAACUGGGAGCAGAUUGAGCACCUGGCCCUUUCGCCCAGGUGAAGGUGGAAAACAAGCAAACAAACCAAAGAGCCAAGAUCUUCAACUUGGCGCCGCUCAGCUGACAUCAGCCGCUUUGCACAAGGAGGGAGCAUAGCCUGGACCUGCUGUAGCUG